rnacentral:sRNA from 1 species
UGAGGAUGCCCCAGUCUGUUCCUGGCUUCCUUCGGGUGAAGAUGUAAAACUCAGCUCAUCCUACACAAUGCCUGCCUGGUUCUGCCGUACUCCCCUUUGAUGAUACUGGACUGAACCUCUGAACCUAUAAGCCAGCCCCAAUUGAAUGUUGCCAUUUAUAAGACUUGCCUUGGUCAUGGUAUCUGUGCACAGCAGUAAAACCCUAACUAAGAUAGGUACUUACAUACAUUUCCAAGAAGUCUGUAUGUUUCUAGGUGGUCUAUUUAACGAGCUGUAUUCUAUUCCUUCUCUGUCAGUAGCAAGUGACCUUGAACUUAUCAUGUUGAAAGAACAAGAAAUUCUUGUCCUAGUGCUUAGUAGAUCAGAAACAUACCAUCAAGUAGGAGGCAAGGCCAUACUCCUUCCCCAGGUGCUAGUAUGGAAUCCUUUCCCUUUUUAGUUCUUAGCGCUGCACCAGGCCUUUGACUUUUGACUAUAUCACAUUAAUCCGCCAGAGUCAGUCCUCCUAGGCUCUCCCUCUCCCUUUCUGUGUCUCCUGUUGAGAUUUGAUCGAUUGCUAUGUACUAAUUCUAUACCACAAGGUCUAGGCCUAAGAGUGACUUCCCAUGUUUACAAGCUUUUGUUGUGAAAUCCUUGGCUUUCGUUAUGAAACUAUUGGUUAAAUAAAAUGGGCUAUAGCCAGUUACUGGAGGGAUUAGAGGUAGGUGGGUUUGGAGUCACCUGGUUAGAGGAGGAGAGACCGGGAGAGAGAGAGGAAGACAUGAUGAGGGGAGAGAAACUGUGGGCACAUGAACAGGAGAAACAGUAAGUAUCUGGGGUCCAGUGCUAGGGAGGUAGCCAGGCCUGCAGUUAGAAGAAUAGAUUAGGGGUGACCCAAUUUAAUUGUCAAAGCCAAAUGAAAUAACCAUAGUCUGAGUCUCAUUUAUUUACAAGCUGGUCUGGAACAAGCCUAAAUUGUUUGUACUACACUCUCGAUUGACAGCCUAUACCCAACGGGCUUUUACAAGAACACUUCUUAUAAGAUUCAGAUCCCAUGUCGAUAACUCAGGAUGAUAACAUGUCAGAAUCCUUCACUGCAAUCCUUAUGAGCCCCAGUUUCCAGAGGAGGUCACAUUUCAGAGAUGUGUGAGGUUAGGUCAUAAACCUGUAAACGUGGUCUCUGUAGAUACCAAAGAGUAUUUUCUAUUUUGACUAUAAUCUCUCCUGCCCAUUUUCACUGAGCUGGAAUGUCUCCACAAACCAGAAGCCUAGGUGGGGGAAGGGAAUAGUAACAGACACAUGUAAACACAAGUAAGUUUCUUAUUUAAUUUACCAAACAAUAAAAUGCCGCUUUCCAAUGGAUGACUUGGAUAUUGUGACUAAAUUAUUUGACUUUUCUAUUGUUUUCAAAGGGAAACUAUAUUAUCAUAAAUUAUUCAAAAGAGUAAGCAUCAAUCACUUAAGGCAGGCUUCUACAGUUAGAUUUACAGUUAAGAUUCAAGCAGAAACCACAGCGUCCAGGUGCUUCCCAUAAGGUCAGAGUUCUCCUGCAAGUGAUGGUUAUGGAGGUGGUUUCCAGAAGGCUGGUUUAGCGAUGCUGAAGCAACUCUGACAAGCUCUCGAAAAUGGGAGAGGAUUAUUGAGCUCCUUACUCAGUUUGAGAGCACAGUAGAAGCAUGUUCAGAUAAAUAUAAUACUGUGGUGGCUUAUUUCUAUGUUUGGAGGUGUUGUAUUACAUUGUUUGUAAUUUUCUUAUUGUUGGUUUUGUUGUUGUCGUCUGUCUGUCUGUUUGUUUGUUUGAGAUAGGGCAGCCUUGAUCUCAUAAACCAUAUUACUCAAUCACUUGAGUCCAGGAAUUUUAAGAAUGUACCAGACUACCAUUGUAUUUUCAUAGGAAUCAAAUCUGCCAAUUUCAUACUGUCAAUGUCAUUUUUCUUAUGAUAAGCAUGACCUUUAACAUUCCCUACUCUAUGAGGAAGCACUAGGCUGGACCCUGCAUAUUAAGAUGGUCUCUGGCUUUGUGGAGGGAGGACUGGGAAGGAGGGCAACAUCUGAAAUGAAAAUAGAUAAAGUAAUUAAUAAGAAAAGAAAGAAGCUGUGUAAUCAUGAAAAGUAAUGAAAGAAACUUCAGUGUGCACUGCUGAGUGGAAGAAGUCCAUCUGAAAUGUCCACCCAAUGUAUGACUCCAGCUUUGCAAUGAAGACAGUUAUUUGCUGUUACAAUGGCAGGCACGUGCUCUAAAUCAUAGAAUAGAUGACAUCAAGAGUUAACUCUAAUGUAAAACAUGGACAGUAAUUAAGUAUGCUGGCAAAAAAGAAAAAGAAAGAAAGAAAGAAAGGAGGAAAGAGAGAAAGAUAGAUAGAUAGAUAGAAGGACUGAAUUUAUGCCAGGUCUGCUACUUGAGGUACAAAAGUAUACAGGGGAAACCAUACCUAGAGUUCUCCUUGGACACUGAACAGAGGCAACUAAUGACAGCCCUGAGAUUCUCGGUCUGUUGCAGGGUCUCACAGACAUUCUAAACUGUUACCAUGUUGCUGAACAGGAUGCUCAGUGAACCGGUUAGGUGCAUAUCAUGUAGUGUUGACUUAUGACUUCUUCCGUUUUGUGUGAUACUAUUGGGGUAUCACAGCGAUAACUGAGAAGACAGAAGACGGACAUAGGAAGAUGGUCCCUUGAAGACCUAAUUGAAAGAACUACCUAGAAAGCACUUCUCAAAGCGAAGAUUCGUUUUUCUCCCAAACUGCCCACAGAGAGCUGUAAGCUGAGCAUGUACUAAAGCUGUUUGUAGUUUCUUUUCCACAUAGCUUAGCAUACAUAUGGCUUUGACUGGGGGAUCAAUUGCUGGAAAAAACAUUCUACUGAUUACAUUUUUUUAGAAAAAUAAAACCCUCAAAAUGUUUUAUAACAAUUAAUCCCAGAUGAUCUUAUAAGUCGAACAUCUCUCUUUUAACCAAGGAGUUUUUACGAAGGUCUCUAGUCUGGUUAUCUUCAUAUCUAGGGUUUUGAUGCUCUUAGUCUUGAAACCGUAUCUUCGAUGUAUCCCAAGCUCUUUCUUUACUGAUAAAAGUCUGAGAUCUAGAUGCUUAUCCAUGCCUAACGUUUUGAACAGUCCAAUAAAGUUUGACCAGAGAAGCAAACCACUGGAACCCAGUAGCGAUUACAAUCAAGGACUGACUGGGAAAGUAGAUAUCUUCUCUGAGGACAUUUUACUCAUGACCACAGAUGCCAAUGUAAGCGUGUUGGCAGGGGACCAUGCUGUUCAGAUAAUCUACCAAAGGUCCUUAAUUUAAAAUGGAGAGAUGCCCUGAUAAACCAGUGCAAAUCUGGGAACAUAUGAAAUCAAGAAUGCAUUUAAUAUCCCGAGACUUCUGUCCAUCAUACUUCAACUAACUCCAUCUACAACAAUAUAGCAAGGAUAUGUACAUAUACAUAUAUAUGCCUACAGUCAGCCAAAAGCAUCUAACUCAAAUCCCAUUUUUCAUUAAAGUAUUUAAUAUUCCAUGCAGUUUGUGACUAUUAAAAUCUUCCAGCACUGUCCGGCCCUCUAGAAUAUCAUUAGAUUAUCCUGUAGUCACUUGGUGGCUGGGCACUAUGAUGUGCAGUUGCUAGCCAGCCACAUACAGGGCAUGUAGUUGGAAUAGAUAAAAUAAAAAAGCAAAAUGUUUUCUACUGAUGUCCUUUCAUUUUGCAAGCCAAGCCAUCAUGGAUUGGCAAUGCAUGCAUCUCUUUGUUAACAAGGUAUAGUCUACAUCAACUGUUUUUCGUGGUAACAAUAUCAAACAAAUAUUAAGGAAAAGUAGAAAGUUUCUGAUUAACCCCAGCGCUGAGGUUUAAGUGGGGUUCACUUGAUCCCUGGAAUUGUAGAGCAGCUUGUAUGAUAUAGGUGACCCACAUUUCUAAAUAGGGUCAAAGGAAAUUAGAAAGUGCCUUACUCAGCAUAUCAUGUA